rnacentral:rRNA from 1 species
CCAGAGGGGGACAACAGUUGGAAACGACUGCUAAUACCGCAUACGAUCCAAUCUCGGCAUCGAGGAUGGAUGAAAGGUGGCCUCUAUUUAUAAGCUAUCACUGAAGGAGGGGAUUGCGUCUGAUUAGCUAGUUGGAGGGGUAACGGCCCACCAAGGCAAUGAUCAGUAGCCGGUCUGAGAGGAUGAACGGCCACAUUGGGACUGAGACACGGCCCAG